rnacentral:rRNA from 1 species
AACGAACGCUGGCGGCAUGCCUAGCACAUGCAAGUCGAACGAGACCUUCGGGUCUAGUGGCGCACGGGUGCGUAACGCGUGGGAACCUGCCCUUAGGUUCGGAAUAACUCCCCGAAAGGGGUGCUAAUACCGGAUAAUGUCUUCGGACCAAAGAGUUAUCGCCUUUGGAUGGGCCCGCGUUGGAUUAGCUAGUUGGUAGGGUAAAAGCCUACCAAGGCGACGAUCCAUAGCUGGUCUGAGAGGAUGAUCAGCCACACUGGGACUGAGACACGGCCCAGACUCCUACGGGAGGGAGCAGUGGGGAAUAUUGGACACUGGGCGAAAGCCUGAUCCAGCAAUGCCGCGUGAGUGAUGAAGGCCUUAGGGUUGUAAAGCUCUUUUACCCGGGAUGAUAAUGACAGUACCGGGAGAAUAAGCUCCGGCUAACUCCGUG